AUGGUGAGAACUCAAUUUCCUGCAUCUACUGAGUCUCAAAACCCCAGCAGAAAAAAGGUCUGUAUGCAAUUUCAUUGUAUGUGUACAUUUGCACAGGGUUCUCUCUCUCUCUCUUUUUUUUGGAGACAGAGUCUCACUGUCGCCCAGGCUGGAGUGCAGUGGCACAGUCUCGACUCACUACAACCUUUGCCUCUGGGGCUCAAGCAGUUCUCCUGCCUCAGCCUCUCAAGUAGCUGGGAUUACAGGCAUAUGCCACCACACCUGGCUAACUUUUGUGUUUUAGUAGAGAUGAGGUUUCACCGUGUUUGCCAGGCUGGUCUUGAACUCCUGAUCUCAGGUGAUCCGCCCACCUCGGCUCCCAAAGUGUUGGGAUUACAGGUGUGAGCCUCCGCGACGGCCAGGUUUCUCUCUCUUGUUGAUUCUCUUUUCUAUUCUAUAUGAUUUCAAAAUGAGUGUUGGGAAAAGAAGUAAUAGUCUAAAUGUUCUGUCACAUCUAGCUUUUAUUUAAUAGAGUUAUUAGAUAUUAGGAGGUUGGUUUGACUUGGAAAUUAUUUAAAUGGGGUUUGAUUAUUAAGUGUGUACUAAUUUUCUGCUUCUGGAAAAACCACUCUGUGAAGUUCCAGAUAUCUUUUUGCUUUAUUGGUUUCUAGUUUAAUUUUAUUGUGGAUAGAGAACAUUCUUUAUAUGGUUUGCUUUAUGGCCCACAGCGUGGCCUUUGUUGGUGAAUGUUCCACGUGCACUUGGAAAGAAUAUGUAUUCUGCUCUUGUUGGAGGUAGCAUUCUGUAAAUGUCAUUAGGUCAAGGUGGUUGAUAGUGUUCUGUAUACGCUUACAGAUAUUCAUAUUCCUACUGAUGUAGUUACUGAUUGGAAGGGUGAUAGAAGAGUGUUGAAGUGUGCAAAUGUACUUGUGGAUUUGUUUCUACUUUCAGUUCUAUCAAUUUUUGAUUUGUGUAUUUUGAAGAUCUGUUGUUGGAUGCAUAUACAUUUAGGAUUGUCUGAUUUCUUGGUAAAUUGACGCGUUUGUCAUUAUGUAAUAUUCCUCUUCAAUUUCUGAUAAUAUUCCUUGUUUGAAGUCUACUUUGAUAAUAUUUUAGUUUUAGUUAUUUAUUUAGCUAUUUUAGUUUUGUUGCGGCCAGUCUUUGAAUGGUAUCAACGUAUAAUUUUCGUAGAGUAAAAUUCCCUUUUUUUAGUACAAAUUCUGAGUUUUGACAAAUGAAACUAGCCAUGUUAUCACUACUGGCACCAUAAUCAAGUUAUAAAAGUUUAAUUACUCCCCCAAAAUUCAACUUUACUUUGUAGUAAACCACUUCUUCCAUUCCCAAUUGCUGGGAGCCAUUAAUCUGUUUCUUUCUUCCUAGUUUUGCCUUUCUCAGAAUGCCAAAUAAAUGGACUCAUACAUUAUUAUUUUGAGAGAGAGGGUCUUGCUCUGUCACCCAAGCUAGAGUACAGUGGUGUGAUUAUAGCUCACUGCAGCCUCAAACUCCUGGGUUCAAGCGGUCUUCCCUGGUACCUGGGUCUAUAGGUGCAUGCCACCAUGCCUGGCUAAUUUUAAAUUUUUUUCUAGAAACACGGGGCCUGGCUCUGUUGCCAGGCUGGUUUUGAACUCCUGGCUUCAAGUGAUAGUGCAUCUUCCGCCUCGUGAGGUACUGGAAUUACAGGCAUGAACUAUUGCACCUGGGUUAUGUAAACUUUUCAGUGGCUUUUUAAACCUCAUACAAUGUUUGUUUGUUUUUGAGACGGAGACUUGCUGUGUCGCCCAGGCUGGAGUGCCGUGGUGCGAUCUCGGCUCACUGCAACCUCUACCUCCUGGGUUCAAGCGAUUCUACUGUCUCAGCCUCCCAAGUAGCUGGGAUUCCAAGCGUGCACCACCAUGUCUGGCUCAUUUUUUAAUUUUUAGUGUAGAUGGGGUUUCACCAUGUUGGCCAGGCUGGUCUUGAACUCCUGACCUCAAGUGAUCCACCUGCUUUGGCCCCCCAAAGUACUGGGAUUACAGGCAUAAGCCACUGCAUCCAGCACAAUAUAGGGAAGUAUUACAAAAACGGAGAAAUGUCAUCCUUAAGGAUUAAUGGACUUUAAUUAACGAAUUAAAAAUCAAAGUAGUACUUUGAAUAAAAAGCUGUCACAUUUUACUGUGAAAUCCUUAGACUUUUUUUAAACCUCUAGUUCAGGUUUUUUCAGCUUUGGCAUGAAUGAUAUUUUGAGCAAGAUCAAUCUUUGUUGGGAGAGUUGUCCUGUAUAUUGUAGGAUGGUUAACAACAUCCCUGGCUUCUACCUAGUAGAUGACAGUAGCAGUUAAUUGUGACAACCAAAAGUGUCUCCAGAUGUUGCCAGUUAUUCCUUCUGGGGCAAAAUUGUUUCCACUUGAGAACCACUGCUCUGAUUGAGUAGUAUAAUACUUGGAAAUAGAAGGCAGGAAGUUGGUAAGUGUGUAAAGAAUUCACACAGCAGUUGGGUUAGCAAGCUGAGAGACUUGAUUUGAACAAGUAGCAACUGGAGGCAUUUUGACUGAGAAUGGAUGUUGUCCCUCCCCCUCCCCCUUUCCUCCUCAGCUUGAGAGGUCCAUAUCCUAGUUUGACUCUUUAGUUUUGAGGGUGAUGACUGCCAACUGUGGAAGGGGUAAACAGAUUUCUAUUUGGUAUUUUUGUCCAAAUAUAUCAGGACUUUUUCAAGAACAGGCAAUGAAAUUGUUGAUCAGAACGACUUGAUGGUUCUGAGAAAAUAAUAUCCUACAUGAGGCUACUGAAGUCCUCUUCCUUUUGCCCCAUGAUGUGACCUUAGGUGACUUUUGGCUUUCAGUUGAAGAUCUUAGCCGUCACUGAGGUGAGUGAACUGAUUUACUGCUUAAGUCUAUUUCCUUCCUUAAAGGAGUCUUCAUUGAAAACUUUACCCAUUUUGGGGUGGCCAUAGCUGAGGAUGAGUUUUGUCAACAACCUGAGCCGAUAUACUCACUAUGUGAGAAGCUUGAUCUCAGUUUGAUAUCUGGUUUUAGAAUAAUUUUUAAUAGAAUAAUUUAUUAUGGUAAAAUAUACAUAAAAUUUACCAUUUUUAAGUGUGUAAGUCAGUGGCAUUAAGUACAUUUACAAAGUUGUGCAACCGUCACCACUGUCCAUUUCUAGAAGUGUUUCAUCAUUCCAAAGAGAAGCACUGUACCCAGUAAGCAAUAAAUCUCCACAUCCUCUUGCCUCCCCAGAUCCUGGUAAUCUCCAUUCUAUUUUCUGUAUCUAUGAAUUUGACUAUUCUAGGUUUUUCAUAUAAGAUGAAUCAUACCAUAUUUGCCCUUUUCUGUCUGGCUUAUUUGACUCAGCAUUUUCAAGGUUCAUUCAUGUUGUAGCAUGUAUCAGAAUUUCAUUCCUUUUUAAGGCUGAAAAAUAUUCUAGUGUAUGUAUAUAUCCCAUUUUGUUUAUCUGUCUGUUGAUGGGCAUUUGGGUUGUUUUCCUUAGAGUCUUUAUAUGUCAGUAAUUCCUAACGAAUUUAAAGGUUGUAGAAAGUAGGAACUUUGUAGAUGUUCUAGAAAUAUGUCAUUUCCUGUACUAUAUAUAAUAAUGUAUUCUACAGACUAAUUACUGUGUAUAUAUUUGGUUCUCAUAAGUGAUUUUGUAGAUGCUAUACAUGCUCUUGAGUUCAUUAAUCUUUCCUUUUGCUAAUUUUGGUCCUUGUGUAUACAGAAUUGUAGAGUUACAAGGUAAUUUAGUUGUUAUCUAAUUUACCCUGAAGUCUACAUGAAACCACUCUCACAGAGUCUUUGAUAAGUAGUUACCGAAUCUCACUAUUUCUACUGUGAUAGUGAAUGACUUUCAUUGAUUAGCUUUCUGAAAGAAUAGUUUAUCUUACUUGUCUUGGUAUCCUCAGCUCUGAGUCUAUUUGUCUAUUGUAAUCUGGCUUUUGCUCUACCACUCCACUGAUUAAAUUGAUGAGCUAAGCAUUUUUUUUUUUUCCUCACUGCAACCUCUGCCUCCCGGGUUCAAGUGAUUGUCUUCCCUCAGCUUCCCGAGUAGCUGGUAUUACAGGCGCUCACCACCACACCUGGCUAAUUUUUUGUAUUUUUAGUAGAGACGGGGUCUCACUGUGUUGGUCAGACUGGCCUCGAACUCCUGACCUCAUGAUCCACUCGCCUCGGCCUCCCAAAGUGCUGGGAUUACAGGUGUGAGCCACCGCGCCUAGCCCAAUUCUGUUUAAUUUUUGAGGAACAAUGUUAACUUCUAAUUUAAAUGGAAGGUAGUAUAUAUCUAAUUUUUCCCUAUUAUUUUUAAUUUCAAUGCUAGUAUAUCUUUAAAUCUGAAGUACGCACUUGGAUUUUGACAGAUAUGUAUACUCAUGUACAUAUUUAUAUUCCUGUAAUCAUGAGAUCAAAUUAAACAUUUUUAUCACCUAGAAAGUUUCCUCAUGCCUUUUUCCAGUAAGUCUUCUGCUUCACUUCCCCAGAUGCAACCAUCAUUCUGAUUUCUGCCCCUAUAAAUUAAUUUUGAACUGUCCUAUAAGUGGUGCUUGAACUUCACACAAAGGGAGCCAUACAGUAUCUACUAUUU
rnacentral:lncRNA from 10 species